rnacentral:piRNA from 1 species
UCAAACCACACCCAGAAACCUUCCCCAG